rnacentral:rRNA from 1 species
GAGUGGACGAACCUCUGGUGUACCGGUUGUGACGCCAGUCGCAUCGCCGGGUAGCUAUGUUCGGAAGGGAUAACCGCUGAAAGCAUCUAAGCGGGAAGCCUACCUCAAGAUAAGAUUUCCCUAGGACUUUAUGUCCUCUAAAGAGCCGUUCGAGACUAGGACGUUGAUAGGUUGGAUGUGGAAGCAUAGUGAUAUGUGAAGCUGACCAAUACUAAUUGCUCGUGAGGCUUGACUAUACAACACCCAAGCAGUUG